rnacentral:lncRNA from 1 species
AACUGCAAAGUUUGCUGUCCGGCUGCCUAGGGUCUGGGAAGCUCGGGCACCCUCCCUCUCCGGGGCUCCUGCUCCCACCCCUCCGGCCCCCCCACCGUCGCGCUCCUCCAGGCUGGGCCUGUGGCCGCGGUGCUUUUUAAUUUUCCCCCAGCUCAGAAUCUUGCUGCUCGGCCCCCAGGAGAGCAACAACUCAACGGGAACGAUGUGGAAGGUGUCAGCUCUGCUCUUCGUUUUGGGAAGCGCGUCGCUCUGGGUCCUGGCAGAAGGAGGGGAAGGCGUUUAACAACUCGGGGGUGAAGCCUGGUGGACAGCGGCAGGGACAUCAUAAAUACAGAAGAUAAUUUUAAAGAAGUGUUCCGGCCGGGUGCAGUGGCUCACAACUGUAAUCCCAGGACUUUGGGAGGCUGAGGCGGGCAGAUCACCUGAGCCAGCACAGGCCAGCCAGAAGAUGACACUGAGACUACAGGUUUGGAAGG